GACGAACGCUGGCGGCGUGCCUAACACAUGCAAGUCGAACGAGGUCCAUGCAGUGGCAACACUGCGGACGACCUAGUGGCGAACGGGUGAGUAACACGUGAGGAACUUGCCCCGGAGACUGGGAUAAGCCCCCGAAAGGGGGUCUAAUACCGGAUGUCCUCACCGAGUCGCAUGGCUUGGUGAGGAAAUGGAUUCCGCUCCGGGAGAGCCUCGCGGCCUAUCAGCUUGUUGGUGGGGUAACGGCCCACCAAGGCAUCGACGGGUAGCUGGUCUGAGAGGACGAUCAGCCACACUGGGACUGAGACACGGCCCAGACUCCUACGGGAGGCAGCAGUGGGGAAUCUUGCGCAAUGGGCGAAAGCCUGACGCAGCAACGCCGCGUGCGGGAUGAAGGCCCUCGGGUUGUAAACCGCUUUCAGUGGGGACGAACCAAGACGGUACCCACAGAAGAAGGUCCGGCCAACUACGUGCCAGCCGCCGCAGUAA
rnacentral:rRNA from 1 species